GAUGAACGCUGGCGGCGUGCCUAAUACAUGCAAGUCGAGCGAACAGACGAGGAACUUGCUCCUCUGACGUUAGCGGCGGACGGGUGAGUAACACGUGGAUAACCUACCUAUAAGACUGGGAUAACUUCGGGAAACCGGAGCUAAUACCGGAUAAUAUAUUGAACCGCAUGGUUCAAUAGUGAAAGACGGUUUUGCUGUCACUUAUAGAUGGAUCCGCGCCGCAUUAGCUAGUUGGUAAGGUAACGGCUUACCAAGGCAACGAUGCGUAGCCGACCUGAGAGGGUGAUCGGCCACACUGGAACUGAGACACGGUCCAGACUCCUACGGGAGGCAGCAGUAGGGAAUCUUCCGCAAUGGGCGAAAGCUUGACGGAGCAACGCCGCGUGAGUGAUGAAGGUCUUCGGAUCGUAAAACUCUGUUAUUAGGGAAGAACAAAUGUGUAAGUAACUAUGCACGCCUUGACGGUACCUAAUCAGAAAGCCACGGCUAACUACGUG
rnacentral:rRNA from 1 species